rnacentral:rRNA from 1 species
GAGGGGGGUAGAAUUCCACGUGUAGCAGUGAAAUGCGUAGAUAUGUGGAGGAAUACCGAUGGCGAAGGCAGCCCCCUUGGGAUAAUACUGACGCUCAGACACGAAAGCGUGGGGAGCAAACAGGAUUUAGAUACCCUGGUAGUCCACGCCUUAACGAUGUCAACUAGCUGUUGGGGCCGUUAGGCCUUAGUAGCGCAGCUAACGCGUGAAGUUGACCGCCUGGGGAGUACGGUCGCAAGAUUAAAACUCAAAGGAAUUGACGGGGACCCGCACAAGCGGUGGAUGAUGUGCAUUAAUUCGAUGCAACGCGAAAAACCUUACCUACCCUUGACAUGUCUGGAAUGCCGAAGAGAUUUGGCAGUGCUCGCAAGAGAACCGGAACACAGGUGCUGCAUGGCUGUCGUCAGCUCGUGUCGUGAGAUGUUGGGUUAAGUCCCGCAACGAGCGCAACCCUUGUCAUUAGUUGCUACGCAAGAGCACUCUAAUGAGACUGCCGGUGACAAACCGGAGGAAGGUGGGGAUGACGUCAAGUCCUCAUGGCCCUUAUGGGUAGGGCUUCACACGUCAUACAAUGGUCGGGACAGAGGGUCGCCAACCCGCGAGGGGGAGCCAAUCUCAGAAACCCGAUCGUAGUCCGGAUCGCAGUCUGCAACUCGACUGCGUGAAGUCGGAAUCGCUAGUAAUCGCGGAUCAGAAUGUCGCGGUGAAUACGUUCCCGGGUCUUGUACACACCGCCCGUCACACCAUGGGAGUGGGUUUCACCAGAAGUAGGUAGCCUAACCGUAAGGAGGGCGCUACCG